UACGGAGGGGGCUAGCGUUGUUCGGAAUUACUGGGCGUAAAGGGUCUGUAGGUGGCUUGCUAAGUCAGACGUGAAAUCCCUCAGCUUAACUGGGGAACUGCGUCUGAGACUGGCGAGCUUGAGUGCAGGAGAGGAACGCGGAAUUCCAGGUGUAGCGGUGAAAUGCGUAGAUAUCUGGAGGAACACCGGUGGCGAAGGCGGCGUUCUGGACUGCAACUGACACUGAGAGACGAAAGCCAGGGGAGCAAACGGG
rnacentral:rRNA from 1 species